rnacentral:rRNA from 1 species
GGUACCGUCAGGCCUAACGUGUAUUAUACGUUAGGAGGUUCUUCCCCUCUGAUAGAGCUUUACGACCCAAGAGCCUUCAUCACUCACGCGGUAUUGCUGCGUCAGGCUUUCGCCCAUUGCGCAAAAUUCCCCA